UACGUAGGGUGCGAGCGUUAAUCGGAAUUACUGGGCGUAAAGCGUGCGCAGGCGGCUUCGCAAGUCAGACGUGAAAAUCCCCGGGCUUAACCUGGGAAUGGCGUUUGAAACUACGGAGCUGGAGUGUGGCAGAGGGAGGUAGAAUUCCACGUGUAGCGGUGAAAUGCGUAGAUAUCAGGAGGAAUACCGAUGGCGAAGGCAGGUCUCUGGGCUGACACUGACGCUCAUGCACGAAAGCGUGGGGAGCAAACAGG
rnacentral:rRNA from 1 species